UACGGAGGAUCCAAGCGUUAUCCGGAUUUAUUGGGUUUAAAGGGUGCGUAGGCGGCUUAUUAAGUCAGGGGUGAAAGACGGUGGCUCAACCAUCGCAGUGCCCUUGAUACUGAUGAGCUUGAAUGCACUUGAGGUAGGCGGAAUGUGACAAGUAGCGGUGAAAUGCAUAGAUAUGUCACAGAACACCAAUUGCGAAGGCAGCUUACUAAGGUGCAAUUGACGCUGAGGCACGAAAGCGUGGGUAGCAAACAGG
rnacentral:rRNA from 1 species